AUUGAACGCUGGCGGCAGGCUUAACACAUGCAAGUCGAGCGGAGAGAGGUAGCUUGCUACUGAUCUUAGCGGCGGACGGGUGAGUAAUGCUUAGGAAUCUGCCUAUUAGUGGGGGACAACAUUUCGAAAGGAAUGCUAAUACCGCAUACGUCCUACGGGAGAAAGCAGGGGAUCUUCGGACCUUGCGCUAAGAGAUGAGCCUAAGACGGGUUAGCUGGUUGCUGGGGUAAAGGACUACCAAGGCGAGGAUCUGUAGCGGGUCUGAGAGGAUGAUCGGCCACACGGGGACUGGGACACGGCCAAGACUCCUACGGGAGGCAGCAGUAGGGAAUAUUGGACAAUGGGCGCAAGCCUGAUCCAGCCAUGCCGCGUGUGUGAAGAAGGCCUUAUGGUUGUAAAGCACUUUAAGCGAGGGGGGGGCUACUUUAGAUAAUACCUAGAGAUAGUGGACGUUACUCGCAGAAUAAGCACCGGCUAACUCUGUGCCAGCCGCCGCAGUAA
rnacentral:rRNA from 1 species